rnacentral:misc_RNA from 1 species
GGAUAAUUACAUAGUACAGAGCAGAGGAUGGGUUGGAGUGGAUAAGACCAUCCUAGGUGGAUGGAUUAGGAGGAGGACAUACUCUAUUAUUAAGAUAAAGAUAAAAUUAACUAAUGGAGCCGAUUAGAUUAUUACUAAUUGAUCAUCGUGAUCGUCAUCAUCUUCAUUUGUCUGCAUCUUGCAGCAGGAAGGAAGGGUAGCACUACCAGCUCCACCUCUCGUUCUCCUGGCCGUCGUCGGUGGUGGCCGGCGGCAGCUGCGAGUAGAAGUCGUAGUCCAAGCUGCUGCUGUUGUUGGUCUUGGAUGAUGGGUUGUAGUAGUGGUGCGCAAGGGCGGCUCCACCGAGGACGGCGAGGGUGAGGGCCUGCGCGUGAAGCCUGGCGUGGAUCAGCCGCAUCUGCGGCGUCUUCCUCCGCCCGUACGCCACCGAUGCGCCCACCGCCGUCGCCCACAGCCCUCCGAUGCUGGCCAGCUUGUGUUCCUCCACCCACGACUGCACCGAUGAGCU